rnacentral:lncRNA from 1 species
AUGCACUCUGUGAUUUAUAUAAUAGGUUAAUUAGUUAAUUCUUUUAGUUUUUGUUUGCUGGUCAAUCUAGGGUUUGGUCCCUUUACGGUGAAUCCAAACUCUUAUUUCGUAUAUAUUGAAUCCAAAUCCCUAAUGUUUGUUUUUAAAUCAAGAUUUGUUCCCCUUGCACUGAAUCAAAUCAGAUGCUCUACCAGUUCCAGGUCGUUAGCAUUUACAGAGAUCGUCUUGAAUAUUUUGGAAGCUCUUAAACCAAAUGCCUAACCCAAAGAUGGAUGUGGCUUCUACUUGACAAAAUGUCAAGAAAUUGGCUUGAAGUUAAAGAGAAGUGCAAUUGAAGCUGUUGCGGAUUCAAAGGCCUACUCACAUUUUGAUACACUUAUUCAAGUCAACCAUUGCCAUAUUAUAUAAUAUUACAUCUUCACCAUGCAAUAAUGCUCUUAUAUUUAUUAGUUUUCGGGUCAAUCAGGGCUGAUUAGGACGUCUAUUCUGCUGCAACAAGUGAGGUGCUGGUCUCUCGGCUUAUUUGUCGCUUUAUCAAGUUCGACACUUUAAAUUCGUUGAUGAUUCAUUGUUGAUUUAGCACAUUGUUUGUUGAAUUUCAAUUCGAUCUCAGGUUUCCAUCUCUUACGUCGGUGAUAAUGUAACGCCAAUUUCUUCUGCCGGCAUGAGUCGCACGUUGGAAACGGAUAAAGACAAUGAG